GAUGAACGCUGGCGGCGUGCCUAAUACAUGCAAGUCGAGCGAACGGACGAGAAGCUUGCUUCUCUGCUGUUAGCGGCGGACGGGUGAGUAACACGUGGAUAACCUACCUAUAAGACUGGGAUAACUUCGGGAAACCGGAGCUACUACCGGAUGAUAUUUUGAACCGCAUGGUUCAAAAGUGAAAGACGGUCUUGCUGUCACUUAUAGAUGGAUCCGCGCUGCAUUAGCUAGUUGGUAAGGUAACGGCUUACCAAGGCAACGAUGCAUAGCCGACCUGAGAGGGUGAUCGGCCACACUGGAACUGAGACACGGUCCAGACUCCUACGGGAGGCAGCAGUAGGGAAUCUUCCGCAAUGGGCGAAAGCCUGACGGAGCAACGCCGCGUGAGUGAUGAAGGUCUUCGGAUCGUAAAACUCUGUUAUUAGGGAAGAACAUAUGUGUAAGUAACUGUGCACAUCUUGACGGUACCUAAUCAGAAAGCCACGGCUAACUACGUG
rnacentral:rRNA from 1 species